rnacentral:rRNA from 1 species
UACGGGGGGGGCAAGCGUUGUUCGGAAUUACUGGGCGUAAAGCGCACGUAGGCGGAUCUUUAAGUCAGGGGUGAAAUCCUGGAGCUCAACUCCAGAACUGCCUUUGAUACUGAAGAUCUUGAGUUCGGGAGAGGUGAGUGGAACUGCGAGUGUAGAGGUGAAAUUCGUAGAUAUUCGCAAGAACACCAGUGGCGAAGGCGGCUCACUGGCCCGAUACUGACGCUGAGGCACGAAAGCGUGGGGAGCAAACAGG